rnacentral:rRNA from 1 species
CGAACGCUGGCGGCGUGCUUCACACAUGCACGUCGAACGGAAAGGUCCUGCUUUUGUGGGGUGCUCGAGUGGCGAACGGGUGAGUAACACGUGAGUAACCUGCCCUUGACUUUGGGAUAACUUCAGGAAACUGGGGCUAAUACCGGAUAGGAGCUCCUGCUGCAUGGUGGGGGUUGGAAAGUUUCGGCGGUUGGGGAUGGACUCGCGGCUUAUCAGCUUGUUGGUGGGGUAGUGGCUUACCAAGGCUUUGACGGGUAGCCGGCCUGAGAGGGUGACCGGCCACAUUGGGACUGAGAUACGGCCCAGACUCCUACGGGAGGCAGCAGUGGGGAAUAUUGCACAAUGGGCGGAAGCCUGAUGCAGCAACGCCGCGUGCGGGAUGACGGCCUUCGGGUUGUAAACCGCUUUCGCCUGUGACGAAGCGUGAGUGACGGUAAUGGGUAAAGAAGCACCGGCUAACUACGUG